UUUGGGCUGCGGCGGACGGAACCCAGCGAAAGUGCACGCCCCGCGGGCCGGCGUGGGCGCGUGUGUGAUCUUAACCCCGCGGGGGCGGGGGUGCGGGCGGCAGUGGCGGGAGAACCCUGGGCGGCGGCUGUGGAGGCGGGCGGCCCAGCCAGAGCCGGUGUCUCCGCGCCUUAUAAGGGCUUCGAGUCGGCCCAGGCAUCUGGAAUGUGUCAGGGACCAGGAGGCGGUGCCCGGACCCCCGCCCGCCUCCGGGGCUGCCCGCCCUCUCCCGGAUUUCCGGGGGGUGGGGACCCCGACUCUCAGGGUUGGAGGCCUGCAUUUCUGGAUCCCUAUAAACAUGGGCUGAGAGCCCCCCCAAGAGCAUCUCUAAGACCGGAGUGGGCAGGGACCCGGGCCUCUGAGGGGCUCAGGCUCCAGGCCGGAAACUGCACGCGGUGCUGGCGUCAGGCCCGAGGCCCAGCUACGCCUCCCACGGCCUCCCUAAUCGCCAUUCGGGGCUUGCGGGAGCACCUGGGAGGCUCCACCCGGAGCCAGACACUGCCUGCCCCCACGCCCCUCCAGGACCCUCGAAGGAGAAGGAAAUCGGGACUGGCCCAGCGUCCCGUGCUCUAGAAGGCGGGCUACUGCCCCGUCCCAAGCAGGGGAGGAGGACGAGCGAGGGCGUCACUCAUUCUGUCCCCCGCGGAAGGAUGAGGAAGCUCUGUUUACCUAAAUGAAAAGCUUUCUAGGAGGAAGUCCUAAGUGAACAAUGAUGCAUGAGGAUGCAAUCUUACAGGCAAGGAGCCCAGUGAUAACAAAUGGCUGUAGAUGCUUUUCCUCCAUCAAGCUUCCAGGAGGAGAUGAGAUGGAGCCCAUCGCUGAGCCAAGGUCACCAGCCCCAUUUCACAAAUGUAAAUAGCAGGUGUCCCCCACACAGUCUGAACACUUGGAGGCCAAGAUUCAUUUCUCUCAGGGCCCACCAUCCUCAAGCAUGGGAUUGAUUUAGUGCCUCUUGCUGGGAAGCAAAGUUCUGGGAGCCAUAGUGGGAUCCUCCCUCCCUCCCUGCAGGAGACUGGGGCCCUUCCAAGCAGCAACUGAGACCAGUCAACAACCUCUGCCUUAGGCCAGGCGCGGUGGCUCACGCCUGUAAUCCCAACACUUUGGGAGGCUGAGGCGGGCAGAUCAUCUGAGGUCAGGAGUUCAAAACCAUCCUGGCCAACAUGGUGAAACCCCGUCUCUACUAAAAAUACAAAAAUUAGCUGGGCGUGGUGGUGCGUGCCUGUUGUCCUAGCUACUCCGGAGGCCAAGGCAGGAGAAUUCCUUGAACCUGGGAGACAGAGGUUGCAGGUCUGAGAUUGCACCACAGCAUCCAGCCUGGGCGACAGAGUGAGACCCUGUCUCAAAAAGAAACAAAUUAAAAAACAAAAAACAAAAAACAACCUCUGCCUGCCCUUGGGGCCUAGCAUGAGCCCCUGCACACAGGAGGCUUCUAUAAAAAUAGCUCAUUUCGGGUAAUCUAGGGCAGAACCCAGGCUUUUACCACUUGUGGUUUCUCUUUCUAAAUGUGUAGUUAAAAGCUGUAGGCCAGACCUGGUGCAUGGUGGCUCAUGCCUGGAAUCCCAACACUUUGGGAGGCUGAGGUGGGAGAAUCACUUGAGGUCAGGAAUUUGAGAUCAGCUUGGCCAAUAUAGCAAGACCCUGACUCUUUAAAAAAAAAAUUUUUUUUUUAAUUAGCCAGGCAAGGUGGUUGUGCCUAUAGUUCCAGCUACUCAGGAGGCUGAGGCAGGAGGCUCACUUGAGCCCAGGAGUGCGAGGCUGCAGUGAGCUGUGACUGCACUGCUACACUCCAGCCUGGACAAACUGAGCAAGACC
rnacentral:lncRNA from 1 species